rnacentral:rRNA from 1 species
GGUUAAGCGAUUAAGCGUACACGGUGGAUGCCCUGGCAGUCAGAGGCGAUGAAGGGCGUGCUAAUCUGCGAUAAGCGCCGGUAAGGUGAUAUGAACCGUUAUAACCGGCGAUACCCGAAUGGGGAAACCCAGUGUGACUCGUCACACUAUCAUUAACUGAAUCCAUAGGUUAAUGAGGCGAACCGGGGGAACUGAAACAUCUAAGUACCCCGAGGAAAAGAAAUCAACCGAGAUUCCCCCAGUAGCGGCGAGCGAACGGGGAGGAGCCCAGAGCCUGAAUCAGCAUGUGUG